rnacentral:lncRNA from 1 species
AACAAACAAAAGGACAACCCUGCAAAAUUGAUAUAGGCCACAUUACUCUGAAGUCUAUACAUCAGUAAGCAGUAAAGACGAAUAAUGAAAGAUCAUGAAACAGCUUCAAUUCCAAUACUGUCUGGAACCUAUUGUGGGGUCUAGGAAGAGGUUACAUAAAGAUGACCUUGAGUAGAAGCAGAAUCUCCUUAGAUUCUGAAGAGAACAAUGGCAACAUUUUGCUCCUCUCCAGAGUGAGGCA